rnacentral:rRNA from 1 species
UACGUAGGUGGCAAGCGUUGUCCGGAUUUACUGGGCGUAAAGCGCGCGCAGGCGGCCUGUUAAGUCUGCUGUAAAAUCUCCCGGCUCAACCGGGAGGAGCCAGCGGAUACUGGCAGGCUUGAGGCAAGCAGAGGAAGGUGGAAUUCCCGGUGUAGUGGUGAAAUGCGUAGAUAUCGGGAGGAACACCAGUGGCGAAGGCGGCCUUCUGGGCUUGUCCUGACGCUGAGGCGCGAAAGCGUGGGGAGCGAACCGG